rnacentral:rRNA from 1 species
AUUGAACGCUGGCGGCAUGCCUUACACAUGCAAGUCGAACGGCAGCACGGGGCAACCUGGUGGCGAGUGGCGAACGGGUGAGUAAUGCAUCGGAACGUGCCAUUGAGUGGGGGAUAACGUAGCGAAAGUUGCGCUAAUACCGCAUAUUCUGUGAGCAGGAAAGCAGGGGACCGCAAGGCCUUGCGCUCUUUGAGCGGCCGAUGUCAGAUUAGCUAGUUGGUGAGGUAACGGCUUACCAAGGCGACGAUCUGUAGCGGGUCUGAGAGGAUGAUCCGCCACACUGGAACUGAGACACGGUCCAGACUCCUACGGGAGGCAGCAGUGGGGAAUUUUGGACAAUGGGCGCAAGCCUGAUCCAGCCAUGCCGCGUGAGUGAAGAAGGCCUCGGUUGUAAGAC